UACGUACUGGGCGAAGGCGUUAGUCCGGAAGUUAUUGGGCGUAAAGAGUGCGUAGGUGGUUACCUAAGCGCAAGGUUUAAUCUUGAGGCUCAACCUCAUUCUGCCUUGCGAACUGGGCUACUUGAGUGCAGGAGGGGAAAGCGGAAUUCCCAGUGUAGCGGUGAAAUGCGUAGAUAUUGGGAAGAACACCGGUGGCGAAGGCGGCUUUCUGGACUGUAACUGACACUGAGGCACGAAAGCGUGGGGAGCAAACAGGAUUAGAUACCCGUGUAGUCCCUGA
rnacentral:rRNA from 1 species